UUUUUAGACAGUGCGACUUCCGUUUAAAUUUGUGUGGAAGAAAGCAAAUGAUUUGUCUUUACUUUUCCAUUAUAUAAAUAUGCCUGUUACAGACGGUAUCGACAGCUUUAAUCGAGACGUAUUUUAGUGAUCAACGUUUGUGUACAAGUUACCACACAGUUAUUGUUUAUAGUUCUAAAGUUCCCUUUUGACAGGUUGACAUUUCACAUUUUAUUGCUGAACUCUGUUGGGAUUCCUGUUUUUCAAGUGAAUGUUUACAUGUGAGAGGAUAUUGUUACAUGUUCGUAUGGUGUAGUGUGGGGCUAUGGCCAUCACAUUGAAUCAGUAACUUAGAAUACAUCAGCGAUAGUUAACAAACUGGAAAUUCCAUGUUACAAUAUGGCUGAUGAUUCAAAGAAAUUCCAAACACCAAGUGAAGAAAUUGCCUACUUGCGGAAACAAUCUCAGCAGUUUAAACAGGAGCUUGAAGAAACCAAAGAAGAAUUGGAAGAAUUCCAAAUCAGUAGUCACGAGUUGGAAAAUGAACUAGAAACACAGUUAGAACAAUGUGACAGUAAAAAUAAAGAACUAAUUGCUGACAAGGCAAAACUAGAACACGAAUGUGCUGCUCUGAGGGAAAAAUUAGAAAAACUUCAGAGGAAGAGUCAUAGUCAGAUAUCUAUGUUAGAAGAUGAACUAGCUGAGGUUACAGCCUAUAAAGAUAAACUAGAAAGAUAUGUACGAGAGCUUGAACAAAUGAAUGAUGACUUGGAAAGAGCCAAACGAGCGACGGUAUCCUCACUAGAAGAUUUUGAAUCUAGACUAAAUCAGGCUAUAGAGCGGAAUGCAUUCCUAGAGAGUGAGUUAGAUGAAAAGGAAACCUUGUCGGAGACGGUACAAAGGUUGAAAGAUGAAGCUAGAGAUUUACGGCAGGAGUUAGAAGUAAAAGAGAAAACCCAUUCUGAACAAGGGGCGUGUGCUGAAGGCAAAGACAAAAGACAUUCUCUAAGAAUGCUCGACAGCGGGUAUGACGGCGAGAAAAUGGCUACAACCCCAUCAACACCCACAACACCUACUACCCCUUUAAAUAGAGGACUUUCUAGCACGGGUAGUAACACUCCCUUCACACCAUCUGCCCGAAUCUCGGCACUCAACAUUGUGGGAGAUUUGUUACGGAAAGUGGGAGCUCUCGAGUCAAAGCUAGCUUCAUGUCGAAGUAUUGUAAAAGAUCCGCCUCGCAAUGGUAAAACUGGCAAGACCAGUCCGGUUAACUCACCAAGUGCACUCAAGCAGCACUUGACGGGACGAGUUGUGAUCAGACAGUGAUGUUAGUUUUAGUAUUUGUCUUCUGAUGGAGACCAGUCUCACAAAUCAUAAGCCUCAGAACUAAGAGAUUAAAUCGUGGUGCUUCCAUGCCAACACAGCAAGGGUUAAAGAUAUCCGUCUAGUGGUGUCACAUGACUGUUUCAUUUCUACCUUUUGGCGGGUAGUCAAUGAAAGCAGGACAUUCGUAGUUUCUGAAACCAAUACCCCAAGACUUGACACAAAGAAGACACACACAUUGCUUGGUAUUGAACCAGGGAGUGUAUGACCCUAAUAAAAUUUAUUUAAAAUUGACUGGAAUAGUUAUUCCAAGAAGUGACACAUAGAAGACAAAUACAUUACAAGGAUAUUGAACUUUUAAACAAACAAAUGAACUGUGUUGUGCUAUACAUAUAUUGUGUUCUGUGUAUAUAUUUUUAAAAUGACGUUUGGAAUUGUGAAUCUUGUGCUGGUUUUUAAAAAGCCAACAACUAUGCAGGAACUGAAUAUUAACACUUACAAAUGAACCAGAAUUUUAAUAUUUGUAUAUAGAGAAUGAUUUUUACUAUUAGGAGAAUGGAAUAGCAACAAACAGUAUGUAUAUUUGGUUUUAGUACAAAGACAUGAAUACUACGAAAUUUAAUAUAAAUGGCUGAUGGUGAUUUUACAAAUAUAUAUGUAAAAGAUAAGGAUGUAGAACAGAAUUAAUUAUUAUGUUCUUGCUGAGAUUCCAGUAAUUGCUGCACUUAGCAGUGUAAAGAAACAUUUCUUUAAACAUAGAGUAUCAUAAAGCAAAUUGUAAUACGAAAGAAAAAUUUAUGCAUUAAAACAUAGAAUAUCAUAAAGCAAAUUGUGAUUUUUCUAUCACUAUCGUUUUUUUUUUGUUCCAGUUAUUUUAUGAAAAGUUUACUGGUAUAUUGAAAUCCAUACAAGAUCUAGUAAAAAAGGAAGAAAAAAAAAGAAGAAAGAAAGAUAAAUAGAAAGGCCAUAUUAACAAUUAUAGUUUUGUAAUCCUUUCAAUAAUUAUAUAAUUAGAGAUGGAAGUGGUGGUUGUCACAAUGUCACAAAAUACUGUAAGUGUAUCCUUAACAGUAUGCAAAUUAAUCUGUUGUAUAGUUACAUUGUCUUUAGCAGCUAUUUCUUUGAACACUGAAAAUGACAACAUUAUGGAAGAUUAAUACAGGAAUAAUGAUUAAUAAAUGAUUUAGGUAUAUUUUGAAGUACUGUAUAUCCUGAAUUUAAUGUGAUCAUAAUGUUAAUGCGAAAAAUGCGAGUUUGUGUUAUUCGCAUUAAUAAUAUGACACAAUUAUUUAGAUGUUUUGUCUGUGUCCCACCUUAUUAAAAUAAAGAGGAAAAAAAAUUAUUAAAAUUUUAAUAUAUUUAUACAAAACAACUGGAAAACAAUUCAUUGUAGGCAAAACAGACUAUUUGUCUAACAGUCCAGAAAGAUGCCAGCCACGUGACGAUUGCAGGGUCUUUGGCCAUCCUGUCAAAAACAGACACAAUUCAUUGCGCGUGAAUGGGUUUUAGCAUAUUAAUCAUGAGGUCGACCAUUUCUUUGUUUUUACUGUUUAAGUUUGCUGUAACUUUGUUGGCAUACCACUUUGUGAAUUAUUCUUUCAUUAUGACUUUGAAAUUGCCGUUCACAUAUAAGGAAGAUACAGUUUUAAUGGUAGGCCUACAUGUAUGCUAAUGUUUAGGCCAGAUUUAGGUAAUUAUACACAUUACGUAAAUUAUUGCAAAAAUAUGCUAGGGAUUAAACAGGUUACUUGAUGUGUACACAGACAUGUUAGUGAGUUGAUCUCAUUGAAGAGGCCUUUAACUCGGAUUUAACCGGAAAGUUCACAAACAUGUACGGUAUUGUUAGAAAAGUAAUAUUUUCAAAGGGAGGCCACUCGCAUUCAUUUCUUGUCAAAUUUUAGUCUGCCCACCGUCACUUGCAUUAAUUUAGGAACACAUUAAUUUCAGGAUCUACAGUAUAUUGUUUAUACCUUUUCUAAUCACAAUAAUUGUUUUUCGAUUGUAGAUAUAUGUUUACGUCCAAAAAAUGUGUCAUUAAAUUGGUCCUAGAAAACUAUAUGCACUUAAUUAGCAUGGAGACUGAACGGUAGGUUGUCACAAUCACUGUCUUUUGUUGUCUGAUAAUAUAAAAUUUAAUGUACAUUUUAUAAACCUGUUCUUUCACUUACAUGUGCAAUCACAAAAUACGUGUGUAAUUAUCAUUUUAUUAACCCUCAUUAGAUACUAUAAACAUGUUGAGAAAUAUACUUUAAAAUGUAUGUGCAUCCAUUCAUUCUUGAUUACAUUUUCUUAAGUAUAUUUUAUGUAAUUAUGCAGAUUGUCCACUACUUAGUCCCAGCUCUUUUAGUAAGUAGAAAACUGCAUUGACCAUGCAGAGAAAGUAUCUAUAAUGUUAAGUGAAAGUUAUGUAUUAGGUCUCGGAGAGAUAAAAUUGUAUUUUUUAAAAACAAAUGUAAUUUUUACAGGCUUUUCAGAACAACAUGGCAACUGCUGAAUUUCAGUGCCGUAUCUAGGAGGCAGUACAACAGGGCACAAUACUUUGUGUGAUUGGUUGAUUUCAACUUAUUUUCGUGCUUAUAUCCAAUUAAGGUUCAAAAACACUGUCCUGGACAUACACCUCAGCUACCAGGGCUGUCUGUCCAGGACAGUGGGUUAGUUGUUAGUUGGUUAGUGAG